GCGAACGCUGGCGGCAGGCCUAAUACAUGCAAGUCGAGCGGCCCUUCGGGGCAGCGGCGGACGGGUGAGUAACGCGUGGGAACGUGCCCUUUGGUACGGAACAACUGAGGGAAACUUCAGCUAAUACCGUAUGUGCCCUUCGGGGGAAAGAUUUACCGCCAUUGGAGCGGCCCGCGUUAGAUUAGCUGGUUGGUAGGGUAAUGGCCUACCAAGGCGACGAUCUAUAGCUGGUCUGAGAGGAUGAUCAGCCACACUGGGACUGAGACACGGCCCAGACUCCUACGGGAGGCAGCAGUAGGGAAUCUUGCGCAAUGGGCGAAAGCCUGACGCAGCCAUGCCGCGUGAAUGAUGAAGGUCUUAGGAUUGUAAAAUUCUUUCACCGGGGACGAUAAUGACGGUACCCGGAGAAGAAGCCCCGGCUAACUUCGUGCCAGCAGCCGCGGUAACAC
rnacentral:rRNA from 1 species